ACCAACACACCCACCGUCAGCCCCAAUCACUGUCGACCUUUGCCACUUCCAUCACUCUAACUCCGGCAAACACUUCAUCGACUUCUUCAUCAUCAUCACAAACACACACACACACACACACACACAUACACAUACACAUUCCUUACCAAAACCCUAGCCUCUACCUCUUCCAUAACCGUUGUCGCCGAAUUCAAAUAUGAGACCUUAGAUGCAGAUCUAACCAAACAAUUUCUCUCUCUCUCUCUCUCUCUCUCUCUCUCUAGAGUCUUCAUUAUUGGAGGUUCAAUCGAUCAUCGUUACCAACAAACAACGAUUCAAUCACCAUUUCAUCGGAGAUCUAACAGCUCCACCGGCAAUGAAAACCGCAGUGGAUAUCUCUACUCUCUAGAUCAUUACUUUCUCUCUCUCUCUCUAGAUCCGCUGUCGAUCUAGAACCACCGUCGCAAGAUCCAUCGCUUCACUGCCACUGCAGAUCCAAAGCCGAGAGGUCCUUGAAGCAACAAUGCCGUAAAGACGGCGACGCAUGUUGUCUAAAAAUAACACCAACUUUGUUCACUCUUGGACCUUUCUUCUCGUUUUCAUCAUUAUUUUCUCUUUACCGAUCUUGUUUGGUUUACUAGAAAGCCUCUUGUUAGAUUUGCUUCACAGAAUGGCUUCAACAGUUGGAUUAGCCGUUAAUAACCUCUCCAAGCUCGACAUCAAUGGCGAUUGGGCCAACUGUGUGAGGAAACCAUCCUACUACUUUCUCAGAAGACAAAUUGCAUUUUCUGUAUAUUAGGAUACUUUCUCAGAAGACAAAUGAUAUUUAUGUUUUUAUUUUUUUAUUUUAAGAUUUGAACUCAGAUCUGCAUUCAAGGCUUAGAUUUGAAAAGUCUUGUUCAUGAUGAUGAUGGUGUUGAAGACUUUUCAGAAUUUUGAACAGAUAGAUAUGCAUGUAUGAAUGAAUGUAUAUAUGUAAUUUUCAUAUAUAAGAAAUAGACAGAUAUGUAUGUA